UACGUAGGGUGCGAGCGUUGUCCGGAAUUACUGGGCGUAAAGAGCUCGUAGGUGGUUUGUCGCGUUGUUCGUGAAAACCGGGGGCUUAACCCUCGGCGUGCGGGCGAUACGGGCAGACUGGAGUACUGCAGGGGAGACUGGAAUUCCGGGUGUAGCGGUGGAAUGCGUAGAGAUCCGGAAGAACACCGGUGGCGAAGGCGGUUCGCUGGGCCGUAGCUGACGCUGAGGCGCGACAGCGUGGGGAGCAAACAGG
rnacentral:rRNA from 1 species